rnacentral:rRNA from 3 species
UGGGGAAUAUUGCACAAUGGGCGCAAGCCUGAUGCAGCCAUGCCGCGUGUAUGAAGAAGGCCUUCGGGUUGUAAAGUACUUUCAGCGAGGAGGAAGGCGUUGUGGUUAAUAACCGCAACGAUUGACGUUACUCGCAGAAGAAGCACCGGCUAACUCCGUGCCAGCAGCCGCGGUAAUACGGAGGGUGCAAGCGUUAAUCGGAAUUACUGGGCGUAAAGCGCACGCAGGCGGUCUGUCAAGUCGGAUGUGAAAUCCCCGGGCUCAACCUGGGAACUGCAUCCGAAACUGGCAGGCUAGAGUCUUGUAGAGGGGGGUAGAAUUCCAGGUGUAGCGGUGAAAUGCGUAGAGAUCUGGAGGAAUACCGGUGGCGAAGGCGGCCCCCUGGACAAAGACUGACGCUCAGGUGCGAAAGCGUGGGGAGCAAACA